UUAAGCGACUAAGCGUACACGGUGGAUGCCCUGGCAGUCAGAGGCGAUGAAGGACGUGCUAAUCUGCGAAAAGCGUCGGUAAGGUGAUAUGAACCGUUAUAACCGGCGAUGUCCGAAUGGGGAAACCCAGUGCAAUUCGUUGCACUAUCGUUAACUGAAUACAUAGGUUAACGAGGCGAACCGGGGGAACUGAAACAUCUAAGUACCCCGAGGAAAAGAAAUCAACCGAGAUUCCCCCAGUAGCGGCGAGCGAACGGGGAGCAGCCCAGAGUCUGAAUCAGCUUGUGUGUUAGUGGAACGGUCUGGAAAGUCCGACGGUACAGGGUGAUAGUCCCGUACACCAAAAUGCACAGGCUGUGAACUCGAAGAGUAGGGCGGGACACGUGGUAUCCUGUCUGAAUAUGGGGGGACCAUCCUCCAAGGCUAAAUACUCCUGACUGACCGAUAGUGAACCAGUACCGUGAGGGAAAGGCGAAAAGAACCCCGGCGAGGGGAGUGAAAAAGAACCUGAAACCGUGUACGUACAAGCAGUGGGAGCACCUUCGGGUGUGACUGCGUACCUUUUGUAUAAUGGGUCAGCGACUUAUAUUCUGUAGCAAGGUUAACCGUAUAGGGGAGCCGCAGGGAAACCGAGUCUUAACUGGGCGUUAAGUUGCAGGGUAUAGACCCGAAACCCGGUGAUCUAGCCAUGGGCAGGUUGAAGGUUGGGUAACACUAACUGGAGGACCGAACCGACUAAUGUUGAAAAAUUAGCGGAUGACUUGUGGCUGGGGGUGAAAGGCCAAUCAAACCGGGAGAUAGCUGGUUCUCCCCGAAAGCUAUUUAGGUAGCGCCUCGUGAACUCAUCUUCGGGGGUAGAGCACUGUUUCGGCUAGGGGGUCAUCCCGACUUACCAACCCGAUGCAAACUACGAAUACCGAAGAAUGUUAUCACGGGAGACACACGGCGGGUGCUAACGUCCGUCGUGAAGAGGGAAACAACCCAGACCGCCAGCUAAGGUCCCAAAGUCAUGGUUAAGUGGGAAACGAUGUGGGAAGGCACAGACAGCCAGGAUGUUGGCUUAGAAGCAGCCAUCAUUUAAAGAAAGCGUAAUAGCUCACUGGUCGAGUCGGCCUGCGCGGAAGAUGUAACGGGGCUAAACCAUGCACCGAAGCUGCGGCAGCGACACUAUGUGUUGUUGGGUAGGGGAGCGUUCUGUAAGCCUGCGAAGGUGACCUGUGAGGGUUGCUGGAGGUAUCAGAAGUGCGAAUGCUGACAUAAGUAACGAUAAAGCGGGUGAAAAGCCCGCUCGCCGGAAGACCAAGGGUUCCUGUCCAACGUUAAUCGGGGCAGGGUGAGUCGACCCCUAAGGCGAGGCCGAAAGGCGUAGUCGAUGGGAAACAGGUUAAUAUUCCUGUACUUGGUGUUACUGCGAAGGGGGGACGGAGAAGGCUAUGUUAGCCGGGCGACGGUUGUCCCGGUUUAAGCAUGUAGGCUGGUUGUCCAGGCAAAUCCGGAUAAUCAAGGCUGAGGUGUGAUGACGAGGUACUACGGUGCUGAAGUAACAAAUGCCCUGCUUCCAGGAAAAGCCUCUAAGCAUCAGGUAACAUCAAAUCGUACCCCAAACCGACACAGGUGGUCAGGUAGAGAAUACCAAGGCGCUUGAGAGAACUCGGGUGAAGGAACUAGGCAAAAUGGUGCCGUAACUUCGGGAGAAGGCACGCUGGUGUGUAGGUGAAGUCCCUGCGGAUGGAGCUGAGACCAGUCGAAGAUACCAGCUGGCUGCAACUGUUUAUUAAAAACACAGCACUGUGCAAACACGAAAGUGGACGUAUACGGUGUGACGCCUGCCCGGUGCCGGAAGGUUAAUUGAUGGGGUUAUCCGUAAGGAGAAGCUCUUGAUCGAAGCCCGGUAAACGGCGGCCGUAACUAUAACGGUCCUAAGGUAGCGAAAUUCCUUGUCGGGUAAGUUCCGACCUGCACGAAUGGCGUAAUGAUGGCGCUGUCUCCACCCGAGACUCAGUGAAAUUGAACUCGCUGUGAAGAUGCAGUGUACCCGCGGCAAGACGGAAAGACCCCGUGAACCUUUACUAUAGCUUGACACUGAACAUUGAGCCUUGAUGUGUAGGAUAGGUGGGAGGCUUUGAAGCGUGGACGCCAGUCUGCGUGGAGCCAACCUUGAAAUACCACCCUUUAAUGUUUGAUGUUCUAACGUUGGCCCCUGACCGGGGUUGCGGACAGUGUCUGGUGGGUAGUUUGACUGGGGCGGUCUCCUCCCAAAGCGUAACGGAGGAGCACGAAGGUUAGCUAAUCCUGGUCGGACAUCAGGAGGUUAGUGCAAUGGCAUAAGCUAGCUUGACUGCGAGCGUGACGGCGCGAGCAGGUGCGAAAGCAGGUCAUAGUGAUCCGGUGGUUCUGAAUGGAAGGGCCAUCGCUCAACGGAUAAAAGGUACUCCGGGGAUAACAGGCUGAUACCGCCCAAGAGUUCAUAUCGACGGCGGUGUUUGGCACCUCGAUGUCGGCUCAUCACAUCCUGGGGCUGAAGUAGGUCCCAAGGGUAUGGCUGUUCGCCAUUUAAAGUGGUACGCGAGCUGGGUUUAGAACGUCGUGAGACAGUUCGGUCCCUAUCUGCCGUGGGCGCUGGAGAAUUGAGGGGGGCUGCUCCUAGUACGAGAGGACCGGAGUGGACGCAUCACUGGUGUUCGGGUUGUCAUGCCAAUGGCACUGCCCGGUAGCUAAAUGCGGAAGAGAUAAGUGCUGAAAGCAUCUAAGCACGAAACUUGCCCCGAGAUGAGUUCUCCCUGAGACUUUAAGUCUCCUGAAGGAACGUUAAAGACGAUGACGUUGAUAGGCCGGGUGUGUAAGCGCAGCGAUGCGUUGAGCUAACCGGUACUAAUGAACCGUGAGGCUUAACCU
rnacentral:rRNA from 1 species